rnacentral:snoRNA from 1 species
CAAGUGUUGAAUGAUGAUUUUUAUUUGUUUGCCUGACUUCCUUUUGGAUAAUGAGGGCAUCUUUAGUCACUACCUCUUCUGAGACACUUA